rnacentral:rRNA from 1 species
UGAGUGGCGGACGGGUGAGUAACGCGUGGGUGACCUGCCUCAUACAGGGGGAUAACAGUUAGAAAUGGCUGCUAAUACCGCAUAAGCGCACGGUACUGCAUGGUACAGUGUGAAAAACUCCGGUGGUAUGAGAUGGACCCGCGUUGGAUUAGCUAGUUGGCAGGGUAACGGCCUACCAAGGCGACGAUCCAUAGCCGGCCUGAGAGGGUGGACGGCCACAUUGGGACUGAGACACGGCCCAGACUCCUACGGGAGGCAGCAGUGGGGAAUAUUGCACAAUGGGGGAAACCCUGAUGCAGCGACGCCGCGUGAGCGAAGAAGUAUUUCGGUAUGUAAAGCUCUAUCAGCAGGGAAGAAAAUGACGGUACCUGACUAAGAAGCCCCGGCUAACUACGUGCCAGCAGCCGCGGUAAUACGUAGGGGGCAAGCGUUAUCCGGAUUUACUGGGUGUAAAGGGAGCGUAGACGGAAUGGCAAGUCUGAUGUGAAAGGCCGGGGCUCAACCCCGGGACUGCAUUGGAAACUGUCAAUCUAGAGUACCGGAGGGGUAAGUGGAAUUCCUAGUGUAGCGGUGAAAUGCGUAGAUAUUAGGAGGAACACCAGUGGCGAAGGCGGCUUACUGG